GCCACAAGGAAAACUACAUCCAGAUCAGCAACAAAAACUGCACUGGAUAAUCCAACCUGAUUUUGAUAGGGUUUCUUUUUCAGUUUUUGUGUAAGCAUACCGUAAAAGGGUAUUCUACUAUGAUAUAAAAAAUAUAUGUUGCUGGGGCAGGGAAAAAUGGAUAAAAAUACUUACCUAGUGUCCCUUACAGUUCACGUUUGGCUCUAUUUGGUCCCCUGAUCUUCUCUCUUCUUUUUCCUUCCGAGAUGAGCCCUAUGGCCUCAGCCAAUCACAGGCCGAGAUGGGACACCCUUAUGACCAGUAACUGGCUGAUCCGACAGGUUAUGCACCAAACACUUGUCUCAGAAGUAGAAAGAACACAGAAGAUCGGAGGAACGGACGGGGAGUUGUGGAGGACUAGCCGUGAACGGCACUAGUUAAGAAUAAUUUAAUUUGAAUGCCAUGGGAUUUGAGAGAAUUGAACAACCAAUCCCUGGAAUAAACAGACACAAACUCUUGCUCCAUAAAGAAGCUGUAUAGAUUAAGCGAACUGGACCCAUGGGCAGUCUAGAAUUGAAUGACCGCAACGAUUUGUGUUUUUCUCUAACCUGUACUCUUACUUUAAGCGGGUAUAGAUUGACAAAACCUCAGAAGGUGUGAAACAACCGCAGCUGCUCUUUCUUCUCCACCCCUAUGUUCCAUGUCACCUUUUUUUAAUGAGAUACCAAUAAAGCAUCAACGUUUAAUACAGGAGACGGUGAGUACCGCUUUAA